rfam:Felis catus breed Abyssinian Contig219343.1, whole genome shotgun sequence. [26-MAY-2016]
GCCUGAGUGGCUCAGUCGGUUGGGCGUCUGACUUCAGCUCAGGUCAUGAUCUCGUGGUUUAUGGGUUCGAGCCCCAUGUCGGUCU